rnacentral:rRNA from 1 species
GACGAACGCUGGCGGCGUGCUUAACACAUGCAAGUCGAACGCUGAAGCUCAGCUUUUGUUGGGUGGAUGAGUGGCGAACGGGUGAGUAACACGUGAGUAACCUGCCCCCUUCUUUGGGAUAACGCCCGGAAACGGGUGCUAAUACUGGAUAUUCACUGGUCUUCGCAUGGGGGUUGGUGGAAAGGGUUUUUCUGGUGGGGGAUGGGCUCGCGGCCUAUCAGCUUGUUGGUGGGGUGAUGGCCUACCAAGGCUUUGACGGGUAGCCGGCCUGAGAGGGUGACCGGUCACAUUGGGACUGAGAUACGGCCCAGACUCCUACGGGGGGCAGCAGUGGGGAAUAUUGCACAAUGGGCGCAAGCCUGAUGCAGCGUCGCCGCGUGAGGGAUGGGGGCCUUCGGGUUGUGAACCUCUUUCGCUCAUGGUCAAGCCGCAACAAUGGUUGUGGUGAGGGUAGUGGGUAAAGAAGCGCCGGCUAACUACGUG